CCUACGGGUGGCAGCAGUGAGGAAUAUUGGUCAAUGGGCGCGAGCCUGAACCAGCCAAGUAGCGUGAAGGAUGAAUGCCCUACGGGUUGUAAACUUCUUUUAUAAAGGAAUAAAGUGAGGCACGUGUGCCUGUUUGUAUGUACUUUAUGAAUAAGGAUCGGCUAACUCCGUGCCAGCAGCCGCGGUAAUACGGAGGAUCCGAGCGUUAUCCGGAUUUAUUGGGUUUAAAGGGAGCGUAGAUGGGUUGUUACGUCAGUUGUGAAAGUUUGCGGCUCAACCGGAAAAGUGCAAUUGAUACUGGCAGCCUUGAGUACAGUUGAGGUAGGCGGAAUGUGUGGUGUAGCGGUGAAAUGCUUAGAGAUCACGAAGAACUCCGAUUGCGAAGGCAGCUUACUAAACUGCCACUGACAUUGAUGCUCGAAAGUGUGGGUAUCAAACAGGAUUAGAUACCCCAGUAGUC
rnacentral:rRNA from 1 species